GUGGCAAAGAUGCAGAGAAAGAGCACACCUGAAAGCUGGGGGGAGGGAGGGGGUAAUCCAGACAAUGAUCUAGUUUUGCCCCACAGCUCUUCAGUUCUGAUUUAUCUCCUCCUUCACAUCUUCAGUGUCUCGUCAUCCUUGGGACAAGGAAUCAGCAGUCCAAAAAGCUCUGAGAGAACAACCUCUGGCUGCCAGUGAUGGACCUGGAUUUGAUGGGACUUCCUCAACCAACCCAAACACCUGGGAAAAGGCAGAAGAUGCUUGGAAAUGGGGACACAGGCCAGGAAUCUUUCAGAUGAAGGUGUGUGGACCUUCAAGGGAGAUACUGGAGGGAUGGAUUUUCUGAUCUUGAGGAUCAGGAGCUGCAGUAUUUCACUGCACUUUAUUUUCAUUCUGACCACUAGAAGAACAGCCUGGCAUGAGUUGGACUUAAAUUAUCUACUUUAUUACCUACACCGAUCAUUGACUUUGCUGCUGAAAAGAUGAUAACUAUUGAGAUUCACUAACCACAACAUGAGAAAGCUAUAAACAGGAUUCUGCAAGAAAUCCUUCCCAAAUUUCCACACUUUCAAUUUCUUUAUCAAAGCAUUUGCAAUUCUCAUUUCAAAGUCAUGGAAAUAAUACCCAAUAUUGAGUAAAAAUGAUGAUAGAUAUUUAAUCAAAAGUUAGAAAA